AUUCAUAACUGUCAGAAAGUUAUUGUCAGAACAAUAAUUGCUAAGGUUUAUUAAAUACUUAUCACAUAUUAGGCACCAUUUGCAGUGAUAUACAUGUGAUAACUCAUUUAACCCUCAGAAUACCACUAUGAAGUAGAUAGGAUUAUAAUUAAAAUGAGGAAAGAGAGGCACAGAGAUGCUAAGAAACUUUCUCAAAGGCCCCCCCAGGGUCCUAUCCCAGACAGACAGACUACAUGGUGCUGAGUCAAUCGGACCUAUUCAUAGGGAAAUAAAUAAUGCUGAUCCCUACCUCGCAUCACAUACAAAAAUCAAUUCCAGGUAGAAUGUGCAUUCUAAAGGUGAAAGGUAAACAAUAAAGCUUUUAGAAGGAAAUAUAGAAGGAUAUCUUCAUUACUCUGGGGUAGGCAAAGGUCACUAAAACAGGACAGUACAAAGCACUAACCUUGAAGGAAAAAACUUAUUUAAACUACAUUAAAAUUUUAUUGAUCAAAGAUACCAUGAAGAAAAUGAAACGACAAGCCACAGAGUAACAGGAGGUAUUUGCAAUCUUUAUGUCCGAUAAGGAACUCAUAUCCUGACUUUAUACUUAUAUAAAAUAUGUAUAGGUAGAUAGAGAUAUUCCUACAAAUCAAUAAGAAAAAGGCAGACAGCCUAAUAGAGAAAUGGGCAAAAGACUUGAAUAGGCAUUUCACAAAUGCCUGAGUGGUCAAUAAACAUAUGAAAAGGUAGUUCGAACUUUUAGUCACCAGGAACUACAAAUUAAACCCACAAUGUGAUAUCACUACACACUCAUGAGAAUGUCUGAGAUGAAAAAGACACCACCAGGUGUUGGCAACAGUGUGGAACUGGAGCUCUCAGGCAGUACCAGUGGAAGAGUACAUUGGUAAACUCUUUGAAGAGCCUUCGGAACUUUGGAAGGCUGUCUGGCAGUAUCUCCUAAAUCUCAAUAUACCCACCACCAUGACCCAGCAACCCUACCCUACUCUUAGGUAUAUACAGUCGAGGCUCACUAUUCGCAGAUUCCUUUCUGACAAGCUUCCCUACUCAUUACAAUUUACUUGUAACCUCCAAAUCAAUAGUCGCAGUGCUUUUGUGGUCAUUCGUGGAUAUGCACGCAGAGUGGCAGAAUUUUGGUCACCCACACACAGGCUCCCAGCUGAGGUUCAACACAGCCAUCCUCUGCCUUCCCGUGUCAGCUCUCCUAACUGUAAACAUGUCCUUUUCAGUCCAUUUAGUGCCAAGCUGUUCAUGUUUUCAUGGUUUUUAGUGGUGAUUUCUCUAUUUAAGUGGCUCCCACGCAUAAUGCUGAAGGGCUGUCGAGUGUCUCUAAGCACAGGAAAGUUGUGAUGUGUCUUCAGGAGAAAUAACGUCUGGCCUACAAAUUUCAUUCAGGUAUGAGUUAUGCUGCCUUUGGCUGUGAGUUCGAUACUAAUAAACCCACAAUAUAUGUUAAAUAAGGUGUUGUUAAACAGAAACACAUAUAAAACAAGGCUGCUAUUGUUUGGUCCAUAAAUAUGUUGGGACCAGAGGCUUGCAAGAAUCUAACCCUGCGACGAUUCAGUACUCGCUAAUUCAGUGUCCGCCGGGUCUUUACAGAGCAUCACUGCUGUGAGUAAAGAGAACCUACAGAAUGUGUACACCCUCACACCCACCGCAGACGUGCAGAGUGUCUCUGUCAGCGCUGUUUGUGUCGGCCACAAACCACCAAUGCAGAUGCCUAGACCAGACGCGUCGGUGCAUUCACAGUGGGACGCCAUAAAGAGAUGAAAACGUGAUCUCUCCCAGAACAAUGAUGUGGAGGCAUCUUACAAACAGUAUGCUGAGUGGAAGAAACCGGGCACCAAAAGCUACAUACUUAGUGACUUCACUGAGCACAGUCUUGCUCCUGUCAACUGUGCUUUCCCACCUGGUUCAGCAUUCCAGGAGGAGUGGGAAGGAGCCUGCAGCCUCGUCGGGGACUCCAGACAGCAGACAAUGAGAAGGGCCCUCCCUCAGUGCCCCACCCCAAGUGUUAGUCUCGAAGAGCCUCAGGUUGGUGCCAAUCUGCCUCAGGCCCUCGCAGCUCCUGAAGUAAUUCUGUCUUCACGCCUUUACUCUUCCCACUCCAGUCUGUCUUCCAUGUUAUAGCCAGAAGUUCUGUCCCUCGCACAAAUCCAAUCAUGUCUCAUUCCUGGCUCUAAAACCUCUUUAAACAACAACAAAAACCCAAACAACCCAAUUUAAAAAUGGACAAAGGACUUAACUAGACAUUUCUCUCCAAAGAUGUACAAAUGACCUGUAAACGCAUGAAAAGAUGCUCCACAGCACUAACCCUUAAUGAAAUGCAAACCAAAGCCACCACGAGAGAUCGCCUCACCCCCAUGGGAUGGGCCAGAAUCAAAAGUGAGUAAUCACAAGUGUUAGUGAGGUUGUGGAGAAAGUGGAACCCUUGUGCACCGCUGGUGAGAGUGGGAAAUGGGGCAGCCACUGUGGAAAACAGUAAGGAAGUUCCUCAAAAACUGAAAUACAUGACUGGCUCCCGGUGCAGCUCGCGUACUCAUUGGGCGUGGGCCUGCUGCGUCUUUUGUGAAGGAGAUUCCCGGGCGAGCCCACGAAAAGACCAAGGAAGGAAUCCAGACUGAGCACAAUGAUCAUGUUCAUGUGAAGGUGGCAGGCAGGAUGGUCCUGGGGUGCAGGGUAAGAUUGAGAGGCAUACACCACUUAGUAAACUAACGAACGCCUAUUGCGAAGGACAGGGUUUGUGGGUGAGGCAGGUGAGAGUCCAAUUUGAGGGGCAGCCAAUCGGUGAAACACAUGCGUGCACAGUAGGAAAGGGAGGGUGGGGACACAGCUGCUGCGUUCCAGCAGCAGACUCAAGGCGCCCGCUAGACGGGGAACCUGCCCCCUUUACUCCCGGGCCCGGUCCCUCCAGACCAAGAGGACAGUCUCAAUUAGAAAACCGCCACUUGGUGCCACAAUGCCCUGACUUCUACAGUUUUCUCUACUCUUGCAUUUCCCCUUCCCCAUUCGUUUAUUGUGCAUAAAGUAACUGAUGUAUGUGCACAGCAUUUGCACUUUUUAAGCUAAGUGGCCAAUGGAUGGGAGGGGGGGAAGUACUGGUUCUGUGAAAAUACCCCCUUUCUCCGUUAGUAGAAACUCAUUUGGCUCUUAUCUUUAUAUUCCAGUAAGUUAUUUUGCUCUCACUGUUUAACAAAAAAAGAACAGCAUAAAGAUCCUUGCAAACCUUGUUUGAUUG